rnacentral:rRNA from 1 species
GACAGAGGGUGCAAACGUUGUUCGGAAUUACUGGGCGUAAAGCGUGUGUAGGCGGCUUUGCAAGUCGGAUGUGAAAGCCCAGGGCUCAACCCUGGAAGUGCACUCGAUACUGCGAAGCUUGAGUAUCGGAGAGGUUGGUGGAAUUCCAGGUGUAGCGGUGAAAUGCGUAGAUAUCUGGAGGAACACCGGUGGCGAAGGCGGCAUCCUGGACCAACACUGACGCUGAGGAGCGAAAGCCAGGGGAGCAAACGGG